UCUUAAACAUAUUUAAGUGAGUAAUUAACGUAAUAAUGUAGUUAGAAUAUAUUUUAUUUUAUUCGUUUCACUAAUUAAGCAAUGUAUAAUAAAAUGUUUAUGGAAUUUUUAACAUAAAAAUUUACUAACUUAAAUUAUGACGAUAAUAUAUAAUUUACGAUUUUAUGAGUUAAACAAGAAGGCUAAUAAAGUUGAUAAUUCACUUAAAGUACAAAAUGUCAACAUUUCACCCAAAAUGUCAUCAAGCCACGUUUGAAGGUGUUAGUGUGGAAAAUUUUCUGAUUUUUGGUUGGAAAACAAAAGGGGCAAAAGAAAAAGAGAAGCCAUGGUCAACUCCCCCAUUAAUUUGCCUUCUUCCUCACCUUUUCAUGGCCAUUUGGCACUCAUGCAAUCCUCACUCUCUUCUUCUUCUUCAGUCAAAGCUAUUACCAAUCCUCACAAUUGCUUCUUCAAGUUAACAAAAUCAGAUUACUUACUUCACCAUCCUCCUCCCAACCACUGAUUUUAACUCCCAAAUUUCCACUAUAAAUAGCCAUGGAAGUUCAACAUCAAGAACACAACAACAACCUUCAUCAAUCUCUUCUCCCUCUAAUCAGAAAUUCAGUCUAUAAUCGCCGGAAAAUUGUAACUAAAAGAAAAUAAAAAAAAAAAAAAAAAAAAGAAAAAAAAGAAAAGAGAAAACCCAAAUUUCUUCUCUCUCUCCUCUGUUUCGCCCCACGACCGACCACCGUCGGCCACCGCGCGCGCCAACUGCGCGGCGCCCAGUUCCGCCUCCACCUUGUCGUCGCUCGCCGGUCACCAGCCCACCGCGCAGCUCGCCGGAGACCCGCGCCAGCAUUCUCUCUCUCCCCUUCGCACUCCCUCGCUCCUCUUCUCUUCGCGCGACGCUGCUGCACGCGCAGCACCACCGACAGGCCGCGCUCGCCGAACCGCCAGAUACCGCCGCCGGAGAUUUCUGCUGCUCGCCGUCGACCACCGAAGCCGGUGUCCACCUCAGGCGCGAUUCAUCCUCCCUGCUCCUAGUAGCAGAGAUUAAGGAAGAUAAAGGAUAUUACAAGCCUCCCCCGGCUAACAAGGUUAUUAAGCAGGAAUCCAGGUACCGAUGGUGAUAACGGGAUGGCGUAGCAGUGAGGACUUAAUUAAUAUCUAGAUUAUCUAGACUCUCAUGGUUUUAAUUUAAGUUUAUGUCAAAACUCUGAUUAGUAACUAAGUUUCUAUUAAUCAAGACUAAUGUUGGAUCUAUAUUAUGCUUCAUGUUAUAAAUGUUUGAGUUUAUGAUGUUAUGUUGCCUUGUAUUUUCCUUAUGGAAAGUACGGCGGUAACGCGCCGACUAUCUAGGUUCCGCUGCUAAUAAUCGAUUAAUUAACUUAACCACGACGACUAGAGGUCGGGGCGUUACACCAUGAAGCCAAACUAAUUCAGAAGCUGCAGAUGACAUACUUCUGUACUCUGCUUCAGUUGAUGAUUUACUGACUGUUGUCUGUUUCUUGGUCUUCCAAGACACCAAAUUUGAACCAAGAAGAACAGCAUAAGCGCUUAAGGAUCAGCUACUGAAUUGGCAGCCACUCCAAUCAGAAUAAUUAUAAGCACUAAUCUUCAAGUCUGAUUCAGCAGAAUAGAACAAGCCUUGAUCAAUGGUGCCUUUCAAAUAUCUUACCACAUGCAUAACAGCUCUUAAGUGUGGAACUCUAGGUGUAUUCAUAAACUGGCUAAGAUGUUGUACAGCAUAAGAGAGAUCUGGCCUAGUUAUUCCCAGAUAUAGUAACCUUCCCACUAGUCUCCUGUAAACAUCAGCAUCUUCAAGUAUAUAACCAUCAUCUAUGGAUAGUUUCAAGCCAACUGAUAAAGGUGCAGG